UACGUAGGGCGCAAGCGUUGUCCGGAAUUACUGGGCGUAAAGCGUGCGCAGGCGGUCUUGCAAGACAGAUGUGAAAUCCCCGGGCUCAACCUGGGAACUGCAUUUGUGACUGCAUAGCUAGAGUACGGUAGAGGGGGAUGGAAUUCCGCGUGUAGCAGUGAAAUGCGUAGAUAUGCGGAGGAACACCGAUGGCGAAGGCAAUCCCCUGGACCUGUACUGACGCUCAUGCACGAAAGCGUGGGGAGCAAACAGG
rnacentral:rRNA from 1 species